rnacentral:rRNA from 1 species
UACGAAGGGGGCUAGCGUUGUUCGGAAUUACUGGGCGUAAAGCGCGCGCAGGCGGUCCUUCAAGUCAGUGGUGAAAGCCUGGAGCUCAACUCCAGAACUGCCAUUGAAACUGCAAGACUUGAGUACGAGAGAGGUGAGUGGAAUUCCCAGUGUAGAGGUGAAAUUCGUAGAUAUUGGGAAGAACACCGGUGGCGAAGGCGGCUCACUGGCUCGUAACUGACGCUCGGGCGCGACAGCGUGGGGAUCAAACAGG